AGCUUAGGGAUGAGGAACUGUCAAAAGAGAGUCAAGAAACAAAUUGGUUUUCUGCUCCUUCUGCCCUUAGGGUUUAUGGUCAGUAUUUGAAUCUUGAUAAAAACCACAAUGGCAUGCUCAGUAAAGAAGAACUCUCCCGUUAUGGAACAGCAACCAUGACCAAUGUCAUCCUAGACCAUGUUUUCCAAGAGUGUCUCACUUAUGAUGGAGAAAUGGCCAUACAAGAAUUAAUGAAAAUCCAUGGACAAGAUCCUGUUUCAUUUCAAGAUGUCAAGGUUAUUUUAUUUUCCUUUAUUGGUAUGUGUUACUAGAUAAUAUAACUAUAAUAAUACUAAAUAACUUGUACUAUAUCCAGUUUAAUAUGAAAGCAACUUAGGAACUAUGAAACACUGUUCCUAAUCAGAUAACUGCUAUUACUUGUUCUGAGCUGAUAUCUAAAAUCAGUAGAAACAGAGACAUAUUUAAACUUAGUGAUUUAUGUAGUUUAUAAUUUAGUAUUUCAGUCUUGUGUUCUGAUUGGAAACACUGAUUUAUUUAAAGACAGUCACUUUAGCCUGUAUCCUUUGGCACUCUUUUUUACUGUAAACAUUUAAUUGAACUGCAGAACUGUUUAGAUUCAAGCACUCUCUUUUUUUUUUAAGAACAUCAGUCCUUCAAGCUUAUACCUCAGUUAAAAUUGGCCAGAGUAUUUUAUUAGGUUACUCAACUUGAACCAAACAGAUACUGGGUACUGAAUGUUUUCUUAUACAUGGAUAGACUGGUUACUGAUAUUCCCAAGUAGUAGCAUGUGUUUCAAAUAAUGGUGGUUUUAUAUAGAUUUUUAUUUAUGUGUACUUAUGUCUGUUAGGCUAAGUGUAUGCCAUGUGUGUAUGAAUGCCCACAGAGGCCAGGAGAGAGUGCCAAAUUGCCUGGAGCUGGAGUACCAGGCAGUUGUGUGUUACCCAAAUUGGAUACUGGGAAUGUAACUCAGGUUCUCUGAAGAGCAGUUUUCAGUUGGGUACCAUCUCUCUAUCCCCCAAAUAGUGGUUUUCAUAUGGA